GGUAAAAUGGCUGAGNAAAGCAAUAGACUGUAAAUCUAAGAACAGAGGUUUGAUUCCUCUUUUUACCA
rnacentral:tRNA from 1 species